GUUCAUUUGUGAGUCAUUCACAUAGAAUGUCUACACAUUCAAACUGCAAGGGUAAAGUAAUUUUUUAAAGUAAAAUUUCCUCACAAAGAAGAUAUAGGAUAACUUAGUUAUUGCAUCUACUGUAGCUUACAAAAAGUUCAGAAAGAACGAUGACAUUCGAUCUGCCAACCAAGUGCUCAUCAUAAACUCACCUCUCACGUUUAAAGGAGGGGGCGGAUGGUAGCGUUGAAGGAACCUAAUGUAUAGUUCAAAUGCUAAAUCAUGCUGAAAUGCCUCUGGAUUCAGCUUCAAGGUACUUGCACAUUCGUUCCAUUACUUCUCUUCCCUUUGCGCUGUUGGCCUGAAACUUGUCCACACACUUCUGUUCAAUUUUCUCUGCCAUUGAAGCCAGUGCUGAUAAGGGCUUAAUCCUGAUACUCGUUUCCUGCUUGCAGACGGUCCAUAACUUUGGAUUAUCUGGAUGAGGGUCAUAUCUGAUUUUCUCUUCCACUUCUAUGUACUUCUCCAGACUAAUGUUUCGAGUGGAGAGCUGCAUGGACCGAGAUUGGGCAUCAACAACAGUUGAUUCUACACAGUGGCAGAUGUCUUGACGAAUGAUUUUGCGGAGGAACCAUGGUCCUGGUGCAUGAAUAGUUAUGGCACGAGUCGUAUAAAGCCUCCCUGAGAUGGAAUCAAGCUUGUGGUUCAAUGUGUCAACUUCGAGGAUAUGCGAUAGAAUGCGCUUGUUCUCAGGAUCAGCAAACUUGCGCCAGGAUGCAGAAGUUACUCUUUCCCAUGGAUGCUUAUAUGUGUGCUCUUGUGAAUAAGCUCUGACCAUCUCGUAACUUCUGAUUUUCUAAACCUUUUUGUUGGAAAUCAAGCGCCCACAGAACUCAGAAGAGAAGAGUAAUGGA
rnacentral:misc_RNA from 1 species